AUUGAACGCUGGCGGCAGGCUUAACACAUGCAAGUCGAGCGCCCCGCAAGGGGAGCGGCAGACGGGUGAGUAACGCGUGGGAAUCUACCCAUCACUACGGAACAACUCCGGGAAACUGGAGCUAAUACCGUAUACGUCCUUCGGGAGAAAGAUUUAUCGGUGAUGGAUGAGCCCGCGUUGGAUUAGCUAGUUGGUGGGGUAAUGGCCUACCAAGGCGACGAUCCAUAGCUGGUCUGAGAGGAUGAUCAGCCACACUGGGACUGAGACACGGCCCAGACUCCUACGGGAGGCAGCAGUGGGGAAUAUUGGACAAUGGGCGAAAGCCGGAUCCAGCCAUGCCGCGUGAGUGAUGACGGCCCUAGGGUUGUAAAGCUCUUUCGCAGGUGAAGAUAAUGACGGUAACCUGAGAAGAAGCCCCGGCUAACUUCGUGCCAGCCGCCGCCGUAAGAC
rnacentral:rRNA from 1 species